GCACCACUGACGAGCCCCACAAUAGGACGAAACGGCCGUCCAGUGC
rnacentral:hammerhead_ribozyme from 1 species